rnacentral:lncRNA from 1 species
AAUUUAUGCACCUUGGUGUUCCUGGAGUCAACAUUUGAAACACACAUGGAGAAAAUGAUAAUUUUUCUUCAUCCAUUUUCCUUCUUCACUUUCACUCUUUCUACCCAUUUCUCACCCUUGUCUAGUAGUACAAACAUCAAAACCAAAAGAAAAGAGAUAUACUAUUUUUAUAGCAAUACCCUUGACAGAGGCAAAGAGAGAACCAUUUGUAUGUUUUAUUUGAACAUUACAUAUGUUUUCACUCUCAUCCACCCAGAAACUAUUACCAAACCUUAGUUUUAUGUAUUGUUCUAUAUAAAGUAUGAACCAUAUAAAAAAAACACCAUCAGUAAAAGAAAGAAAUCAAAAUCAACCUUCUUCAUUUUCCCACAUUCAUUUUAUGCUACCAACGGAAGUAAAAGAAUGAGUGCUUUUUAACUUUUAAACAAUUGGAGCAGCAAGCAAAACAAAGUCAAACGUGAAGGAAGGUGAAAUAAGGGGUGACCCACGUCCCUUUUCUCCAAGAUACACCGUUUCCGCUAACAUAUGAGAACCAUAGAGAACCAUCACGAACCACCACCAAUAGACGCUGUGAAAACGAGACGGCGGUCUUAGGCCCAAACCGUCACCAUAACUCCUUGGCCACCGCUGGAGACGGAUAACCCGUCGUUGGAGAGGACUCGAAGAAGGGAUGGUGCCUCGAAGACGCGCUGCCACAAAUAAUCCCAAGCUGGCUCGGUCUCUGCCACCAAUGGCUCAUGGUUGCCGCCGCUGGAGAGAAGAGAGAAGUGAUGGGGUGAGAGGGAGAUUAGGGAUUUCAAUUCCCAUUCCUUUCACGUUUUUUGCAUCUAACAGGGUAACCCCCUUCAUUUUAACAAUAAUGUUUUUAUUUUAUUCUUGUUAUUAUAUUGGUUUGUUCCAUAUCUCUUAACUAUUAAACAAGUAUACCUUAACCUAAAUUAUAGUAACAUUUGUUUAAAUAAAAUAAAACCUAAUUAAAAUUAUCCUUUCACAAUAAAAAUAAUAACUAGAGAAUAAUUUAAAAAUUUUAUAUCAUGAUUCGAGUCGUCUCUAAGUUCUCUAAAAAUGAGAAGAAUGUCUACCACCAACACCGUCUUUAAGCUAUUAAUUCCAUAUAAAAUAAUUAAAAAUUAUUUCAUCACCUAAAUGAGAUUUAUGGAAUUUUUAUAGUCAGGUCAUGAUUCGAGUCGUCUCUAACUUCUCUGAAAAUGGGAAGAAAGUCUACGACCAACACAGUCUCUAAGCUAUCAAUUUCAUACAAAAAAAUUCAAACUAUCUUAUCACUUAAUUAAUUAUGGAAUUUUUAUAGUAAGUUUGUGGUUUGAGUCGUAUCUAACCUCUCUGAAAUUGGGAAGAAUGUCUACGACCAAUACCAUCUCUAAGAUAUUAAUUCAAUAGAAAAUAUAAUUAAAAAUUAUUUUAUCACCUAAAUAAAUAUGAAACUUUUAUAGUAAAGUCAUGGUUCGAGUCGUUUCUAACUUCUCUGAAAAUGGGUAGAAGGUCUACGACCAACACCUUCUCUAAGCUAUUAGUUCCAUUGAAAUUAAAUAAUCACAUAAAUAUUUUAAAUUCAAUAAAAAAUCAACUCAACAAAAUCAAUAUUUCCAAAUCAGAAAUAAUCAACCAAACUGAUAAAUCAUUUUUAUAACCAGAACUAAGUAGUCUUGAUUUCCCUACUGCAUCAAGGAAUACGUAGGAGCAAGAUAAUCUCUUGUCAGACACAAAAAUAAAAAAUAAAAUAUUUUGUUUUAGUAAUUGAAUUUUAAAUAAAUAAUUUUUAAGGGUAUAAAAGUCCAUGUGAUUAGUAAGGAUAUUGUUUUAAUACAGGCGUACGAAGUGCUAAUACAUUCCCCG